rnacentral:rRNA from 1 species
UACAGAGGGGGCAAGCGUUGUCCGGAAUUAUUGGGCGUAAAGAGCUCGUAGGCGGUUUGUCGCGUCUGCUGUGAAAACCCGAGGCUCAACCUCGGGCCUGCAGUGGGUACGGGCAGACUAGAGUGCGGUAGGGGAGAUUGGAAUUCCUGGUGUAGCGGUGGAAUGCGCAGAUAUCAGGAGGAACACCGAUGGCGAAGGCAGGUCUCUGGGCAUUAACUGACGCUGAGGAGCGAAAGCAUGGGGAGCGAACAGG